UGCUCUUAUAUACUUGAACUAGAUGUCUCGAGUGAUUCAGAAAAUUUUAUGUGUGCCGUACAGUGCAGUAUCGUGAAUCACUUUGCAUUUCCUCUUUACAAGCAGUAACAGAUAUGGUUAGCAUAGCAGGUAUCAGUAAACAUGCCAGUGGCUGAACAUUUUUGACUAUUUUUUCUAAAAAUUAAUAUUAAAUUUGAGAAGGGCAAUAUCGAAGAAGUUCCAUACUUCCACUCUUUAGUCGGCUCAUUCUUCUAUAACCCUUAUCUUCAAUCUCUGUAAUCUAGACUGCACUAUAGACUACCACCUCCCAAAGAAAAACACAGAAAAAGAAGAAGAAGAAGAAGGAGCCGAUGGCUUUUGCGUCUUGGCUAUCUCGCUUGCGCUCUGCCUCCAAAACUUCAUACGGAAAUGUGGCCAGUGCUUAUUUCCACAAUAUCAGGCCUCAAUCAACAACAACAGCAAAAACGCCAUUUCUGCUGCUUCCCUUCACUGUCGCUGCCACCGUCUCUGCUGGAUCGCUUGCCUUUUAUUUCCAACCUCAGCUUUCUCUCUGUGACGCCUCUAAUCUCGAUUCUCGUGUUGACUGUUUUAGAAUAGGAGGCAAAAAUAGUACUGAUUUUGUGGUCAAAGGUACUCACAAGAAAGUUCCUCAGCAGCUUAUUGAUGAAUUAAAAGCUAUCUGUCGGGAUGACAUGACAUUGGAUUAUGAUGAAAGGUAUUUUCACGGAAAGCCACAGAACAGUUUUCAUAAAGCAGUUAAUGUACCUGACGUUGUUGUUUUUCCAAGAAUGCAUAUUGAGUCAGUUUUGGUUUCAUCCAGGUCAGAAGAGGACGUUUCCAAUAUUGUCAAAUGUUGUGACAAGUAUAAGGUCCCUAUUGUACCUUAUGGUGGAGCUACAUCAAUUGAGGGUCACACCUUAUCACCUCAUGGUGGUGUUUGUAUUGACAUGUCAUUGAUGAAGAGUGUUAAAGCACUGCAUAUUGAGGACAUGGAUGUGGUUGUUGAGCCUGGAAUAGGAUGGAUGGAGCUCAAUGAAUACUUGGAGCCUUAUGGUCUUUUUUUCCCCCUUGAUCCAGGGCCUGGUGCAACAAUUGGAGGAAUGUGUGCUACCCGUUGCUCUGGUUCUUUAGCUGUAAGGUAUGGAACUAUGCGAGAUAAUGUCAUCAGUCUCAAGGUAAUUCUUGCCAAUGGAGAUGUUGUAAAGACAGCUUCUCGAGCUCGAAAGAGUGCUGCAGGGUAUGAUUUGACUCGUUUGGUGAUUGGAAGUGAAGGAACACUUGGCAUAAUAACAGAAGUCACUCUACGGCUUCAGAAAAUUCCACAGCAUUCCGUGGUUGCAAUGUGUAAUUUUCCUACAAUUAAGGAUGCAGCAGAUGUUGCCAUUGCCACUAUGCUGUCUGGCAUACAGGUGUCAAGGGUAGAACUUCUGGACGAGGUUCAAGUGAGGGCUAUAAAUAUUGCUAAUGGGAAGAAUUUACCUGAAGUUCCUACCUUGAUGUUUGAGUUCGUAGGCACAGAGGCCUAUGCACGUGAGCAAACACUGAUAGUUCAGAAAAUCGCUUCUGAGCACAAUGGGUCUGAUUUUAUUUUUGCAGAACAGCCUGAAGCUAAAAAGGAACUUUGGAAGAUACGGAAAGAGGCUCUAUGGGCUUGCUUUGCAAUGGAACCAAAAUAUGAGGCGAUGAUUUCUGAUGUAUGUGUUCCUCUAUCACGGCUGGCAGAAUUGAUAUCACGGUCUAAACAAGAGCUGGAUGCAUCACCACUAGUUUGCACAGUUAUUGCUCAUGCUGGUGAUGGGAACUUUCACACUGUGAUACUCUUUGAUCCUAACCAAGAAGCGCACCAACAAGAAGCAGAAAGAUUGAACCACUUCAUGGUCCACACUGCUUUAUCAAUGGAAGGAACAUGUACUGGUGAACACGGUGUCGGCACAGGAAAAAUGAAGUAUCUUGAGAAGGAACUUGGAGUGGAGGCCUUGAAGACGAUGAAAAGAAUUAAAGCAGCUUUAGAUCCAAACAAUAUCAUGAACCCAGGAAAGCUCAUUCCACCACAUGUUUGCUUCUGAGAGUGCAUAGGGGGGCAUCCUUUUCGGCAGUGCACCCUCUUUGCAGGAGUAGUUGUACCGGUCCAAAAGGAUAUGCUCUAAUACAUAGCCUCUUUCAAUAUUCGUCAAAUCAACCGAAUCUUCGGUGUUGUUUUCUUCAGAAAGCAAGAUUAGAUGUGGUGAUCUGAGACAUGAUCUAGUGAUGAAAGAAAAGUUAAGAGUUUUCUUUCUUGUUUGUCUUAUUUAUUUAGACGUCAUGUGCAAGGUCAUACCUAUGGCUAAUUACAAAAAGAUGAUAAUAAGAACAACUUGGACUGCUGCUAUGCCUGAAUACAUUGGAUUGGAUUGAA